ACGUAGGGUGCAAGCGUUGUCCGGAAUUAUUGGGCGUAAAGAGCUCGUAGGCGGUUUGUCGCGUCGAAUGUGAAAACCCGGGGCUCAACUCCGGGCCUGCAUUCGAUACGGGCAGACUAGAGUUCGGUAGGGGAGACUGGAAUUCCUGGUGUAGCGGUGAAAUGCGCAGAUAUCAGGAGGAACACCGAUGGCGAAGGCAGGUCUCUGGGCAUUAACUGACGCUGAGGAGCGAAAGCAUGGGGAGCGAACAGGA
rnacentral:rRNA from 1 species